rnacentral:rRNA from 2 species
GCAUAUCAAUAAGCGGAGGAAAAGAAACCAACCGGGAUUGCCUCAGUAACGGCGAGUGAAGCGGCAAGAGCUCAAAUUUGAAAGCUGGCUCCUUCGGGGUCCGCAUUGUAAUUUGCAGAGGAUGCUUCGGGUGCAGCCCCCGUCUAAGUGCCCUGGAACGGGCCGUCAUAGAGGGUGAGAAUCCCGUAUGGGGCGGGGUGUCUGCGUCCGUGUGAAGCUCCUUCGACGAGUCGAGUUGUUUGGGAAUGCAGCUCUAAAUGGGUGGUAAAUUUCAUCUAAAGCUAAAUACUGGCCGGAGACCGAUAGCGCACAAGUAGAGUGAUCGAAAGAUGAAAAGCACUUUGAAAAGAGAGUUAAACAGCACGUGAAAUUGUUGAAAGGGAAGCGCUUGCAACCAGACUCGCUCGCGGGGUUCAGCCGGGCUUCGGCCCGGUGUACUUCCCCGCGGGCGGGCCAGCGUCGGUUUGGGCGGCCGGUCAAAGGCCUCCGGAAUGUAGCGCCCUUCGGGGCGCCUUAUAGCCGGGGGUGCAAUGCGGCCAGCCUGGACCGAGGAACGCGCUUCGGCACGGACGCUGGCAUAAUGGUUGUAAACGACCCGUCUUGAAACACGGACC